CAGAAAUGGCUGGUUUUGAUGAUUACUACAAUGUGGUACCUGUUCUGCUUGAUCAGGGCUCCCCAUAAACUUGUUGAGGUUUUCAUAUUUGUAAAAUCCAAACUUUGCUUGAUUUGGCUUAUGCUGAACCAAAUUUGUAACGAGAGAAAUCUCGCUUUGAAUGACUAUUUCUCUGAAACUGAACUGAGGUUGGAGAUUCUAGAUUAUAGCUGACUUGUUUCUUGUGGCUCGAUGAGUUUUUAGUUGCUUCAGUGUUUUGAAGGCUUUUGAGAUCAAGUGAUCAUUUUGAGUUUUUUGUUUUUGAUUGAUUUUUUGGCUGUCCUUCAUCUGUUCACCCUCUCUCUUAUUUUAUAGGAAAUGUUGGAGUGGGGUUUAAUCUUUGAAUAAUGGGUGGUAGAUCUUUUCAAAAAAAAGAAUUUCUCUUUUCAAAACCAAAAAGGAAGGAAGUCAUAUGUAUUUGGCAUAUGAGAACCAUCAACAAUCAGCUUUCAUAGAGGUUUUUUCCUUGCUUUUCUGAAAGAAAACCAACUCUCUUUGUUCUCUGUUUGUUCUUUGUAAGGAGAAAAACUCAAUAUGCCAUGAUGGUCAGUUUACUUUCCUUGUUUGAACAACUCCCUUGCGCCCUACUUAUCUCUUGAAAUCGUAGUCUGCUUAUCUCUUGGAAAGGCCACCUGCUUUGGUGCAGAGUUUCUUUAUAUAUAUAAAAAGGGAUUUUGAUCUUCUUCCUUUGGC
rnacentral:lncRNA from 1 species